UGCGCGAGUUUCGACCGGUUUUCAUGUGCCGCGCCGCCCAGUGCCAUGGUGCGGCGGCGGCGGUGAGCUCUUAUAAGAGCCUCUUAUUCGGUACAGACUAUAGUAUGCUCCGGACCUGCACGACUGGUGUACGCGUCUACCGUUCGUCAUGACGCGUUUUUGAGUACGCGUUAUGGAAAUUCCGUAUGACGAGAUCAGUCUCUUGCCGACCGUUGCUGUUGACGAUCGCCAGUAUUGUUGUCUCAUGCCAUGUACUAUGGCUCUCCUUUCGAACGUCGAGUCGACCGCCAACUGUGGGUCAUCGAGCCGGUCCACCAUUACCGAACAUCGUAUGAUGCUGUUGCUGUUAUUCCACGUCAAACAGUCGGUCUGGUCCUUCAUUUACCACGCCCUCGGAUUGUCGUAUACUGAUAUGAGAAAGCCGCCGUCAAUGAAAUAAACUACACGGUCGUAUUAAUUUGUUUUUGUUGUUACUUGUCAUCAAUAUUAUUAAUAAGAUUUAUUAAUUCUGAUUGCCUGUAUCGCACGUAGGAAUUUAUUAAUUAUUAUUGAAUAAAUUGUGUUUUGUUUAUAUUGCAACAAAACGCAAUACGUGUUCCUCUAUCACACAAACACUUCAUAUACUUUGUAAAGAAUAUUCAUAUAUUCAAAAUUCAAAUUUUUACCAGUAUUCUCAUCGGGUUCAUUAACAGGUGAUCUAUAUUGUAAUUUUGGUGUAAAUCUAUAUCAUAUGAGAAGCUCAAGAUAUAGUCUUAAUGCUUCGUUUCUAUUACUUGCUUAGAUGUUUUGUUACUAAGUUUUAGUACCAUUUUUAACUAGAUUCAUAAUAUGCACUUGAAUAAUGGUACGACAAAAUGUUGUUAUGACUUAUGAACAACACAUAAAAAUGAUGUCAUGCGUAUUUCUAUUGUAGUUAUGUCAAUUUCUAACAAUUCCAAUUUCUCCUCAUUUGAAAUAUGCCAGUUCUGUAGGUAUGCAGCUUUUGAGCUUUAAUUGUGUCGUCUAUGACGUACAUACGGGCGAUGUUAACCCACCCCCUGCCACGCUCUUGAUAAUUCAAAAUUGAGUUUCGUGGUUAAAGAUUGUCAACAUUCUAAACUAAUUGUUCCAAAUAUACGAUUAUAUUUGUAACUUAUAAAAUGUUAUGAAAUUAUAAUUUUGGUGUAAAUAUACAUCAUAUGAGUAGCCCAUGGUUGUAGUCUUGCUGGUUCAUUUCAUUAAUUAACUUACAUGUUUUGUUACUGGUUAUUUUUACCAGAAUUCAUAAUAUGCACAUGCAUAAUCGUACAACAAAAUAUUGUUAUGCACAAUACAUAAAAAUGAUCUCAUACGUAUUUCAAUUGUGGCUAUGUCAAAUUCUAAAAUUUCUAUUUUUUUUUAUUGUUUGGUUUAGCCAGUUCUAUAGGAAUACAGCUUUUGGGCUUUAAGUGCCUCGUCAGUGAUGUACAUACUGAAAAGUCCUUAGCUAAUUUUUAUCCACAUUUUUGUCAACCGUUUUUUUUUUAAAUAAUAAAUUAAACAUUUUUUAAUGCUAACUUUUUGUUUAAUGAUAUUUAAAUGAAAUCCUUCUUGAAUAUAAUAUCUACUUUUUUCGUCCAUCUUGCUAUUUUAUCGUGCUUUAUAACUGCUAUUUGUUCUCCUCUACCACAUUUGUUCAAAAUGUAUUAAAGAAAAUAAGAAAAAAAAACAUAUUAUUCAUUUACAUUAUUGCGUAUGUUAAUUGUUUAUACAUAUAUAACAUUCAACUGAUACAUGGUCUUGUUAGCUGUGGUCUUAUAUAUUAUUUAAUAAAUGCAUAUGUAUGAGCCCCUGGCAUAAAUGUAUAAUAUUUGAUAUAAUAUUGCAUUAAAACCCAUGAGCUCCAACAUAAUUGUUUAGUUGUAAAUGUUUGUAUGUGGUUGAAAAAUAUUUAUAAUUUAUAUAUAUUGAUAUAUCUACAUUCAAUAGAGUUAUACAAUUAAACUGUGUAUUAACAGUCAAAAAAAUGUAAUCAAAAACGUGGUAAGGGAUGUUUAACAAGUAGUUGUUAUAUAAGUGUAUAUAAUUAAUAUUAUCUGAAUUAUGAAUUUUAAAAUAAUUUACCAAUCAAAUAAUAGUUAUCUUACUUAAGCUAUUAUUUUAACUGAUCAGGUGUAAUGUAAUUGUAUAAAUGAAAAUAAAAAGAGAAUCAAAAAUUACGCAAAAAUGAGUUGAUAAAAAAAAGUACAGAAUGUCUGCUAGAAAAAUAGUAAUUUGUGUCACAAUCUUAAUUAAUAUAAAAUCAUUAUCAAUACAUUAAAUUGUUUCUUUUUAUAAUUAUUAUAUCAUACAUGAGUUAUUUAAAUGUUGUGUUAAGAAAAAACGUGAUUUUGAAGAAUUUUAAUUAAAUUUGCAAUUUUUUAAAAACCCAAGGAGUGUUAAAUAUUGUUUUUGUUUCAUAAAAAAAAAAAUAAGAUCAGAAUGUAUCCUUUUUUUUAUAUUUAUGCACAUGAUCAAAAUGUUUUUUUCUGAGUAUAAUUCCAUUGAAAAUUUGGUAUAAUGGGUGGUCGAAAAUACCUAAUUUAGGUACUAACUUUGUGAAUUGUCACACUCCAAAGCUUUUUUAUAUUGUGUUGAAAGAUCUUUAAGAUUUCCAUUGUUUAUGAACCAAACAAUUCGCUAAUAUCAUAUUAUGCAUAAAAAAUGCAUCUAAUUCAUCAAUUUCUUGAAAUCUUUGAUAAAUAUCCACCAUCAUAAAGUUAGCCCAUUUUUUUUUAUGAUACGACAUAUUAAUCGAAUCAUUUAAAUGGUCCGGUUCAAGUUGAAUCACCGUUUUAUGAUACAUCAUAGCCUUUCAUACUUUCGAUGUCUUCGUAGUCUUCCUCACUUUUCGGGUUCCAGUACCACACAGUUUCUAAUGCUGCGUUUACAAUGAGUCCAUGUACCAAAAAACCAACUGAGCCAACGAGGGAAAUCAUUGGCCCGACGUCGGGUAUCUCAGUCGCGAUAAUUACUGCAAUCACACGUAAAACCAUAAGACAUACAUUAAUAAUUUACCCAUCAACUUGUCACGAUCAAACUCGAACUUAUAUCAAUAAAUUAUCGAUAGUUUGUCUGUCCAUAAAUAAGAUGUGCGAUAACACACACGAAACGAUAUACCUACUUCAAGUCGUCAAGUAUCUAGUUCGCACACUAACAUAACACGCUCGCAUUCUUUGCACCUUCUGCAAUGUACGUUUAUUUUGUUAAUCGAAACAUAAUUUAUGAAACUUUUUUAUUGCAGUUUCAAUAGAAAUUUCUCUGUUUAUAUAACACUAUUUCAUAUUCAAUUCUUUCUUUAUUCUUUGCGACUUCUUCAAAGCAUGUUUAUUUAUUUCGUCUAGUUUUUUCAGAUCUUACGUCCCCUUGAAAUCAGUGCCGUUGCUAGAAUGUUCUUGUUUUUUUUAUUCAGUUCUCAGAAAAACUUUAGUCUCGGUCUUUCUUUUCAGCCAUUGCCACACUAGGUCCUCGGUGUCAGUCAGCUGGAGUCCGUAUGUCACUAUAAAUCCCAAAGUUACUGCGAUUUUUACAGCCUCCGAAAGUUUGUACGAACACGAAAUCGACAACUACAAUAUAAUAAAUUAUAAUACUUAUCACGUGACACACCGUUUACAGGCGUAGCGUAUAGGUAAUUUAUAUGUAAAAUAUCAUGUCCCCUGUUUUCUGAUGGUAAGUUGAGUGGCACACUGCCCAAGCACCGUUCUCCGUAGCGUAUGUAUCCGAAAAAGCCCAAAGUGCCGUUGAGUCUAAUGAUGAUUAGCAUAUACCAGUGUAAUGUACAGUCAGGUGAUCCGGUGAGUUCACGUGUUUUUUUCAUUGCGUUUUCGAUGUGCAUCAGCUUUAUACGUCAAAGGUACGGGUAUUUACGUGCGUCUCGUGGCGAGCACCAGCGAGCAUGUACGACCCAGACAAGUUCGGAUAAUAAUAUACAUGCCGGAUAGUAAUAAUAACAUGUUUGGUUCUAAAAUACGUAAGUAUAUUAAUAAUCGCACAUUAUGCGCUCUUCGCCUUUUCCGUUACAGCUUGUUGACCUUCACACUAUUGACGCAGAAGUGGGCACUUGGGGCUACGCAUUGCACGGGUUGUCUAUCUGCUGGACCCAUUGUUCGUAGCUCUACUGAUCAUAUUCUAUUUUAUUUUCACUGACCCUGGAGGACGAAGCUGAGGGAGCCAAGAAGAACGUUCCCAAUUAGUGGUAUGGCCGAUGACUUACUGGUGUCUGUUUGCCGGAAGUGCUCUAUGCUCAAUGGAGGGCGUUGGAAUGUUGAAUAUGUCAUCCGUCCGUCCAUCUCAUGCCGUACUCGAAUACUCGUACCUUUUACGUAGAAAGCUGCCACUCAAUUUCCAUAGGAUAACUGGUCGGUAAAUAAACAAUGCUCAGCAUUCCAACGCCCUCUAUUGAGCACAGAGCACUUCCGGCAAACAGCGACCAGUGAGUAAUCGGCCACAUCACCAAUUUGGAACGUUCCUCUGGACUGAGGGUCGCGUCCUCCGUCGUCAGUGAAAAUAAAAUAAAAUAAUAUAACGGUGCCUGCCAAAAUUAGCGUGUUGGCAGUCCGUGCAAUGCAUAGCUCCAAGUGCCCACUUCUGCGUCAAUAGUAUGAAGGUCGACAAGCUGCAACGGAAAAGGCGAAGAGCACAUAAUUUGCAAUUAUUAAUAUACGUAUUUUAGAACCCUUCAAGUUACCCAAACAUGAUAUUAUUAACUAUCUGGCAUGUAUGUUAUCAUCCGAACUUGUCUGGGUCGCACCUGCUUGCUAGUGCUGGCCAUUAUACACACGUAAAUACCCGUACCUUUGACGUAUAAAGCUGAUGCACAUCGAAAACGCAAUGAAAAAACCACGUCAACUCACCGGAUCACCUGACUGUACAUUACACUGGUAUAUGCUAAUCAUCAUUAUACUCAACGGCGCUUUGGGCUUCUCCGGAUAUGUACGCUACGAGGAACGAUGCUUGGGCAGUGUGCCACUCAACUUACCAUCAGAAAACAGGGGACCUGCUAUUCUAAAUAUAAAUUACCUAUACGAUACGCCUGUAAACGGCGUGUCACGUGAUGAGUAUUAUAAUUUAUUAUAUUGCAAUUGUCGAUUUCGUGUCUGUACAGACUUUCGGAGGCUGUGAAAAUCACAGUAACUUUGGGAUUUCUAAUGACUUCUGGACUCCAGCUGACUGUCACUGUGGACCUAUUGUGGCAAUGACUCGAAAGAAAGACCGAGAUAAAAGUUUUUUUCAAAAAAACAAGAAGAAUCUAGCAGCGGCGCUGACGUCAAGGGAUGUAGAGUCUGAAAAACCAGACGUAAAAUCGCCGCCCGCAAUACAUUACGACAUGUGAAAAAUUCCACAUAUGUUAUUUUGGCCUUGUCCGCACUGAACGGUGGAGACUUCUAAAAUCUACGAGAGAUGUUUCCUCCGGCCCACGGAACACACACUAUAAUUCCAGAUUGAUAAUCGACCAUUCCAUAACAACAAUGGGCCAAGUCAACGACAUGGGCCCGUAGUUGGCGAAGACACCAACAACAGGAUACCCACGUCUCAAACCAUCAGUUGUCACUCAUUGUAACGUAUAAUUUUCCCCAUCAUACCCCCAACCACCCCAUACAAGCACGUAUUAAAGGCGUCGCAUGAUGCAGGUCUCUUUCUUUCCAUUUCCUUAUUCUAAUUAUUUAUUUAUUAUAAUUGAUCAUCUUCUUUUAUUGUGGAAAGUCGUAAAUCACAUGACCAAAAGAAAAAUACACUUAGAAAAUCAAUAUAAAAAUACCACUAUUAAAACAUUAUUAUUAUUAAAAGAUUUACGCUUAGACGGUGUACGGGUCACAGAUCGCCUUGCUCUGGCGCCGACACCGAGAUGUUUUAUUGUAUACAGAGCAUAAGCUCACAAAAUGAUUAUUAUUCGUGUCGACGCUUGCUACAUUAUUUGCAAUGAUCUAAUAUUAUUCUUUAAAUUAAAAUACAUGUCCUUAUUAUUAUUCCUCUUGAACCUGCCAAGUGCCAUAAACUGUAAUAUUUUUUCUGCACUUGCCACGUGCUAACCAAUUAUUUUUUCCCCGAAGCCACACUCAAAAAAUUGUUAUUUUAUUAUUUACUACGUGAACGAAAUUAUAAUUAUAAAUUGUAAUUGACCAUUAUUAUUAUUUUGUUAAUUACCUUGGUCAAAUGCCGACGAUCGUAAAAAAAAUAUAUUCAAUAGUGUACUUGGAGAAAAAUAGUUUAUAGGUGACAUAAUUCUGCAUCUCACAAUAAUAAUCCUUAUAUAAUUUGAUUUGUUUUUAAUUUAAUUUUUAGUCUUAUUAUUUAAUUUUGUUUAUUAUUUAAAAAAUGUUUAAUUUUUGUAUUUAUUUUGUACCACUCUAUGUUUAAUUAACUUUAAUUUGAAAUGUAUUUAUUGUAUUUAUUUAUUUGUUAUUAUUAUAUUGUAUACAAAAUGUCAACAAAAUAAUGUUAAACUCCUACUCCAUUACAAGCUAAACUACAGGAGUCGUACCUAUAUUUACAUUCUAACUGUAUUGUUAUAGAAGAAAAAAAAUUACAUGCGCACCAGCUAUGUGCAUAAAAAUGAUUAUUAUAAAACUGUCAUUCUUUUUAUGUAUUUCACUACAAAUUUUCACUUUUUGUUGGAUGUAAAAUAUAAAAUCAUGAUAACCUUUAAA